UCCCGCACGUACAGAUGGACACGAAUAGGCUUCGGCUUAGCGUCUUAGCAGGCGAUUACUCCACUGCUCUCGAAGCGAGUAGUGGUAUUUCGCGAAUUGUAAUUUCAGCACGAGCGGGGUUAAAUCCUUUGCAGACGACUUAGAUGUGCGAAAGGGUCCUGUAAGCAGUAGAGUAGCCUUGUUGUUACGAUCUGCUGAGGGUAAGCCCUCCUUCGCCUCGAUUUCCUCAUGAACUCCAGCGGCCGACGGCCGCGAGCACACGAGGGUUAGGGGACUGCCGCGGGCAGGGACUUGAGGGGCCGCGCCGACGAUUCGGUGCGGCCAAGUCUCGUCUCGACGACGCAAGUACCCUGGAAAGGAUAUUGCGGACGGCCGUGACGGCCAAGUGCGUGUCCGCGACGCCAGGUACCCUGGAAGGGACGCGGUCGAGGCCCGAGACGUGCAACGCAGAACGAAGUGCCCGAGUGCGCCGGGUACCCUGCAAUAGGCUUUAGAGGGCGAGGCGCCAGGUACCCCGGAAAGGGCCUGGGGUGGCCAAGUACCCUGGAGAGCGAUUCCCUAGUACCCUGGAAAGGAGAUGGAUGCUGAGCCCCCUGGAAUGGCCAAGUACCCUGGAGCAGAAUUCCCGAGUACCCCGGAAAGCGAUUCCCAAGUACCCUGGAAAGCAGUUCCCAAGUACCCUGGAGCAGAAUUCCCAGGUACCCUGGAAAGCAAUUCCUACGCACCCUGGAGCAGAAUUCCCGAGUACCCCGGAAAGCGAUUCCCAAGUACCCUGGAAAGCAAUUCCCAAGUACCCUGGAGCAGAAUUCCCAGGUACCCUGGAAAGCAAUUCCUACGCACCCUAGGGCGGAAUUCCCAGGUACCCUGGAAAGCAAUUCCUACGCACCCUAGGGCGGAAUUCCCAAGUACCCUAGGGUAGAAGCCUUAAGUACCCUAUAAAGCAGUCUUUAGGUACCUUAGAAAGGAGAUCCUAAGUGUAAAUAUUUUUUCGGUAAAUAAAAUAGACAUAGAAGUAGCUGUAGUAGAGAAGUAGUAGGAUUAGAAGCGUUACUUAUACUAAGGCCUAUAUUAUAAAACUGUUAAAUAGGGUACUAGAAAAUAAAAGAGUUAUUAAGGGACUAUACAAAGGAGGUUAGAUUAAGAGGGGAGCUUUUUCUUAAAAGGUAAGUAGUAUUCUACUUUUAUACAGUCACCUCUCUUAAUAAGGGUAGAAGAUAAGAUAGAAAUAGGCUAUCUAUACAGGUAAGGAUAUAUAGUAACGCCUACAUAGUAUAAAGAAUAGAGUGUCUAAGUAUAGUAGUAAAAGUAAAUAGUACUAAGACUAGAAUAAUAUAUACUUAUAUAUUAGAUUCUAAGACGUAUAUACAAGAGAGAAGCUUUAAUGCUUAUAGUAGACUAUAGGUUUAUAAAGAAUAGAGAUAAGUAAAGACGGAGAUAAAGGCAGACCUCUAAAGGAAAGCUACUUUAUGGAAAGGAAGUCUAGGUACCCUAGGAAGGCCAAGUACCCUGGAAAGAACGUCCUAGGUACCCUGGAAAGGCCAAGUACCCUGGAAAAAGUCCCAGGUACCCUGGAAAGGCCAAGUACCCUGGAAAAAGUCCCAGGUACCCUGGAAAGGGACUUUCUACCUUGGCGCCUAGGCUAUAAGUAGGUAGUAUAGGGCUGUAGAGCGCCUCUAGGGGAGCCUAGCGCACCAGGCCCUAUAGCUAUAGCGCCUACAGCGGGCGAGAAAACCGCUGCGGAAGUUCAAAAAACCGGCGGUUGGACUGCGGGGUGGGCGCCCGCGGGCUGCCCGGCACGGCGGGCUUAUAGAGCUCGCUGCGGCGGUUACAGCGCCGUAAGGCCCUAUACGGUAGGCACUAUAGCGCUGGAGAUACGGCGGCCCAAAGCCGCAGGUACCCUGGAAGGCAAUUGUCAAGUACCCUGGAAGGGAAAAAGAGGUGGGCCGCAGGGCGCCGCCGAGCAGCUGGUGGCGGCGACGACGUGGGCGGUCGACGGGCAUACCUGGGUUUUGCGUGCGGGAUCGGAUAAGGUUUUGGUGGCCGUGAGUCGAUUUUUUUGUUUUCCCAUACAAAUCUUUUUUUCGGGAAAUGUUUUUUCGGGACAGAAGCAGGUGGAGCGGGGCCGGGGCGCAAAAAGUGUCGCAGGGCCUAUGAGAAGAGAGCGAGUGCAGCCAACCGGCGGCACAGCGCAACUGCUCCACCCGCUGAGGGUGCGCGCUGUAGAAAUACAGCGCAACCGUCCCAUAUCUUAAUGACUGCUGCGUGGCGUCUCUCUGAACAGCCUCGCAGGUAUCUUCCUCGGUGGCGGGGAGUUCGUAGCAGCAGUCGACGCCCACUGUGGUGCACCGCUAAGGCGGCGCAUCAUCCUGGGAGUGCCCGGAGGGUUUGGGGGUCACGAGCCCCUAGACCCGAAGGAUGGGUUCUGUGGAUGAAUGGCCGUUGGCUAUACUUACACUGAGCAUCGGGAGAGAAACGCCCGCGGUCGGACGCUGAAUAGCUGAAGCCGCGGGGCCAGUUGCUCCUCUUGGGACCCCCCAACCACGCAACCCCCCCGGGGGCACAGCGCGGUGAACGGGGUCCUGGGGAAUUCAGAGGGGGAAAGCGGAAGCUUCCUCUGCGCCUACGGCCUAGCCGGACGGCCGCAGGGGGGGCGCGAGCGCUGUUUCGGCAGCGUGAGCGAUUCCGGUGACUAAAACGCUUCGGCCGCUGCUUGCAGCGCCGAUGGC
rnacentral:misc_RNA from 1 species